GGGCGGAUGGUUUAGUGGUAUAAUACUCCCUUAGCAUGUAGCCACCUUGUGGCACGGCUUGGGAGUGGUCCGGGGUUCGAUUCCCCGUCUGUCCA